UACGAAGGGGGCUAGCGUUGCUCGGAUUGACUGGGCGUAAAGGGCGCGUGAGGCUGGUUGUACAGUCAGACGUGAAAUUCCUGGGCUCAACCUGGGGGCUGCGUUUGAUACGUGCAGACUUGAGUUCGGAAGAGGGUCGUGGAAUUCCCAGUGUAGAGGUGAAAUUCGUAGAUAUUGGGAAGAACACCGGUGGCGAAGGCGGCGACCUGGUCCGAUACUGACGCUGAGGCGCGAAAGCGUGGGGAGCAAACAGG
rnacentral:rRNA from 1 species